GAUGAACGCUGGCGGCGUGCUUAACACAUGCAAGUCGAACGGAAAGGCCCAAGCUUGCUUGGGUCCUCGAGUUGCGAACGGGUGAUUAACACGUUGGUGAUCUGCCCUGCACUUCGGGAUAAGCCUGGGCAACUGGGUCUAAUACCGGAUAGGACCACAUUUUGGAUGGUGUGGUGGAAAGUUUUUCGGUGUGGGAUGAGCUCGCGGCCUAUCAGCUUGUUGGUGGGGUAAUGGCCUACCAAGGCGUCGACGGGUAGCCGGCCUGAGAGGGUGUACGGCCACAGUGGGACUGGGAUACGGACAAGACUCAUACGGGAGGGAGAAGUGGGGAAGAGUGCACAAGGGGAGCAAGCCUGAUGCAGCGACGCCGAGGGGGGGAGGACGGCCUUCGGGUUGGAGUCGCCUUUCGCUAGGGACGAAGAGGUAUGUGACGGUACCUGGAGAAGAAGCACCGGCUAACUACGUG
rnacentral:rRNA from 1 species